rnacentral:rRNA from 1 species
AUUGAACGCUGGCGGCAGGCCUAACUCAUGCAAGUCGAGCGAGCGGCGGACGGGUGAGUAAUGUCUGGGAAACUGCCUGAUGGAGGGGGAUAACUACUGGACACGGUAGCUAAUACCGCAUACCAUCAGAUGUGCCCAGAUGGGCUGAGCUAGUAGGUGGGGUAACGGCUCACCUAGGCGACGAUCCCUAGCUGGUCUGAGAGGCUGACCAGCCACACUGGAACUGAGACACGGUCCAGACUCCUACGGGAGGCAGCAGGGGGGAAGAUUGCACGAUGGGCGCAAGCCGGAUACAGCCAUGCCGCGUGUGUGAAGAAGGCCUUCGGGGUGUAAAGCACUUUCAGCGGGGAGGCGUUACCCGGAGAAGAAGCACCGGCUAACUCCGUGCCAGCAGCCGCGGUAAUUC